rnacentral:tRNA from 1 species
GGAAAGGUGUGCCGAGUAGCGAAGGCAACGGACUGUAAAUCCGUGACAUAAGAAACAUCGUGGGUGCAACUCCUACCCUUUCCA